rnacentral:rRNA from 1 species
AUUGAACGCUGGCGGCAGGCUUAACACAUGCAAGUCGAGCGGGGGAAGGUAGCUUGCUACCGGACCUAGCGGCGGACGGGUGAGUAAUGCUUAGGAAUCUGCCUAUUAGUGGGGGACAACAUCUCGAAAGGGAUGCUAAUACCGCAUACGUCCUACGGGAGAAAGCAGGGGAUCUUUGGACCUUGUGCUAAUAGAUGAGCCUAAGUCGGAUUAGCUAGUUGGUGGGGUAAAGGCCUACCAAGGCGACGAUCUGGAGCGGGUCUGAGAGGAUGAUCCGCCACACUGGGACUGAGACACGGCCCAGACUCCUACGGGAGGCAGCAGUGGGGAAUAUUGGACAAUGGGGGGAACCCUGAUCCAGCCAUGCCGCGUGUGUGAAGAAGGCCUUAUGGUUGUAAAGCACUUUAAGCGAGGAGGAGGCUACUUUAGUUAAUACCUAGAGAUAGUGGACGUUACUCGCAGGAUAAGCACCGGCUAACUCUGUGCCAGCCGCCGCGGUAA